rnacentral:rRNA from 1 species
UGGGGAAUAUUGCACAAUGGGCGAAAGCCUGAUGCAGCGACGCCGCGUGAGGGAUGGAGGCCUUCGGGUUGUAAACCUCUUUCAGUAAGGGUGAAGGCUCUCUUUUGUGGAGGGUUGACAGUACUUGCAGAAGAAGCGCCGGCUAACUACGUGCCAGCAGCCGCGGUAAUACGUAGGGCGCAAGCGUUAUCCGGAAUUAUUGGGCGUAAAGAGCUUGUAGGCGGUUCGUCGCGUCUGGUGUGAAAGCCCAUCGCUUAACGGUGGGUUUGCGCCGGGUACGGGCGGGCUAGAGUGCAGUAGGGGAGACUGGAAUUCCCGGUGUAACGGUGGAAUGUGUAGAUAUCGGGAAGAACACCAAUGGCGAAGGCAGGUCUCUGGGCUGUUACUGACGCUGAGAAGCGAAAGCGUGGGGAGCGAACAGG